rnacentral:rRNA from 1 species
GACGAACGCUGGCGGCGUGCUUAACACAUGCAAGUCGAACGGAAAGGCCCUGCUUUUGUGGGGUGCUCGAGUGGCGAACGGGUGAGUAACACGUGAGUAACCUGCCCUUGACUUUGGGAUAACUUCAGGAAACUGGGGCUAAUACCGGAUAGGAGCUCCUGCUGCAUGGUGGGGGUUGGAAAGUUUCGGCGGUUGGGGAUGGACUCGCGGCUUAUCAGCUUGUUGGUGGGGUAGUGGCUUACCAAGGCUUUGACGGGUAGCCGGCCUGAGAGGGUGACCGGCCACAUUGGGACUGGGAUACGGCCCAGACUCCUACGGGAGGCAGCAGUGGGGAAUAUUGCACAAUGGGCGGAAGCCUGAUGCAGCAACGCCGCGUGCGGGAUGACGGCCUUCGGGUUGUAAACCGCUUUCGCCUGUGACGAAGCGUGGGUGACGGUAAUGGGUAAGAAGCACCGGCUAACUACGUG